GCUUACGGCCAUACCAGCCUGAAAGCGCCCGAUCUCGUCUGAUCUCGGAGGCUAAGCAGGGUCGGGCCUGGUUAGUACCUGGAUGGGAGACCGCCUGGGAAUACCAGGUGCUGUAGGC
rnacentral:rRNA from 1 species